rnacentral:lncRNA from 1 species
AAUAGACAGUAGUCCUAUUUAAUUACAAUCAAUUUGGACCCCAACAGCUCAAAUACAUAACUUUUCUCAAUGAUUCUUCAGAUUGCUCUGCCUUUUCAUUCUUCGCAAUUAAUGAAGAAGAAAGUUUCUUGGCUUGAGCAUAAGAUCUCAUGUUAUUCUUUGUGUGUUGAGCCAAAGACUUCAAUGGGUAAUUCCAUCUACACAAUCCAACUUGAUCUUUUAAGGCUUCCNNNN